UGAGGAAUAUUGGGCAAUGCCCGAAAGGGUGACCCAGCAACGCCGCGUGGAGGAUGAAGGUCGUAAGAUUGUAAACUCCUGUUAGAGGGGAAGAAUAACUAAGUUUGGAGCUUAGUAUGACUGUACCCUCAGAGAAAGCCCCGGCUAACUACGUGCCAGCAGCCGCGGUAAUACGUAGGGGGCAAGCGUUGUCCGGAUUUACUGGGUGUAAAGGGCGCGCAGGCGGAAUGGAAAGUCAGUGGUGAAAUCCUACAGCUUAACUGUAGAACUGCCUUUGAUACUUUUAUUCUUGAGUUCGGGAGAGAGAGACGGAAUUCCAGGUGUAGUGGUGAAAUACGUAGAUAUCUGGAAGAACACCAGUUGCGAAGGCGGUCUCUUGGUCCGACACUGACGCCGAGGCGCGAAAGCGUGGG
rnacentral:rRNA from 1 species